rnacentral:rRNA from 1 species
UACGAAGGGGGCUAGCGUUGUUCGGAAUUACUGGGCGUAAAGCGCACGUAGGCGGAUAUUUAAGUCAGGGGUGAAAUCCCAGAGCUCAACUCUGGAACUGCCUUUGAUACUGGGUAUCUCGAGUAUGGAAGAGGUGAGUGGAAUUCCGGAGUGUAGAGGUGAAAUUCGUAGAUAUUCGGAGGAACACCAGUGGCGAAGGCGGCUCACUGGUCCAUUACUGACGCUGAGGUGCGAAAGGCGUGGGGAGCAAACAGG